UACGGAGGGGGCUAGCGUUGUUCGGAAUCACUGGGCGUAAAGCGCGCGUAGGCGGCUUGAAAAGUUGGAUGUGAAAUCCCGGGGCUCAACCCCGGAACUGCAUUCAAAACUUUCUGGCUAGAGACUUAGAGAGGUGGGCGGAAUUCCGAGUGUAGAGGUGAAAUUCGUAGAUAUUCGGAAGAACACCGGUUGCGAAGGCGGCUCACUGGCUAAGUUCUGACGCUGAGGUGCGAAAGCGUGGGGAGCAAACAGG
rnacentral:misc_RNA from 1 species